rfam:Ciona savignyi cont_3716, whole genome shotgun sequence.
GACGAGGUGGCCGAGUGGUUAAAGCGAUGGACUGCUAAUCCAUUGUGCUCUGCACGCGUGGGUUAGAAUCCUAUCCUCGUCG